CUCUGUUAUCUGGACAGGAGAACAUGUAGGGAUACUCUCACAUAUUUGUUUACAUGCCUCUUUAAAAUCCAUAGUAUCAAAUCUUCCAUAAAAACAGUUUAGGUCGUUUACAAAGGAUGAACAGUCUGCCAUAUUACUGUUCUCUUUUCCUUUCUCUUCCCAUCAUUGGAUUAAGCCCUUCCCAUGCUUGUCUUGGAUUGCCUGUACAGAACCUCUGCUCCACAUGAUCCUUUGUUGGGUUCUGAGAAUAUGAAAUGUACUUAUGUCACUGAGGGAGAGAGGGUAAUGUAUAACGUUUACAUUAUAUCAGGGAUUCUAUUGAAAUAUUGAGUGCUUAGGGUUAGAGGGUCUACACCAGAAGUUAAUGGUUAUCUGUAGGAGGAAGGUAUAUAGUGUGUGCAAUUAAGCUUGUAAGGUGCUGAGUGCGGGAAAGCGAUCACGUGGCAGGCAUUGAUAAGGCGAGAGUGCCAUGGAAUAGCCAUGGAUGAAGGGGGUCAAGGUCAGGUCAGGUCGCGUUAAGGGAGAAAGAAAAGUUUAUGUCCCGUAUCACUUAGUGUCCUGCUGAGCAGUAAAGAUACAAUGUUUUUACAGAUGUGUAGGAGGAGACUCAGCCUAGGAGAAAGGGUUAAAUAUCAGUGUUUGUGUGAACAUGUCUUUGUCUGAUUGCAGCUAUACUGACCUUCUGGGAAGAAUAAACUUGGUUAAGCUUUCAUAGUGUCCGUAGAGUUUAUCUGAGAAUCAGAACCGAACACCCUGAAGUUCUUUUUUUCCCUUUCCAUAUUUUUGACCUGAAUUAAUUUUCUUAAUCUUCCUUUCAUUGAGGCAUAUUUUCAAGUCCUUAGACACCCAGGGCUUGUUGUUGGGGAAAUACUCUGACAGUUUUUGUGUUAAUGACAGUAUCCUCGCACGUCUUCAAAAAUACUACAAGGAUCCAACUAAAAAAAUAUGCGGUCUGGAGAGAGAUUGCAAAGACCAUGCGCAUUUCAGAUGUUGAAUUGCGCAAAACCAAAUGGAAGUCCCUCCAUGACACUUUUUUUAAGGCACCUACAGUUCUGGGGGAACCAAUCAGAAAGAAUGGAAAUAUAUCAAAAUAUUAUCAUUCUUGAUACCUUAAGUCCAGCAAAGAAGCUCAAGAGGCAACCUCAGCCUUGAAAAUGCUGAUUCGCCUCAGCCACAACCUGUGGAGCCCGAUGACACCGAGGAUGACAUGUCCCCGAGCCAUGACCCUGUGCUUCCGAUGCCUGUACAACAGUCAAGGCCAACCACUAAAGGACACGGCUCAAGACUGGCAGCCAAGAAUUAGGAAACAGAAGGUCAACCAUCAAAAUGUGGAUGAAGAGCUGCUUGCAUUUGUCAGGAAGUCAAUCCCUUCUGCUGCUACCUUGGAGGAUGAGUCAUUUGUGCACAGCCUUGUGCCAGAGCUGAAGAAAAUAGGAAGAACCAAGGGACACCUGAAAGUGCAACUACUGUCAUUGAUUGUAAACUGGGAUGACCAGCAUGCAACACCUCUGCUACCACCUCCACCACCACAAUGGCUCUUUGAUGCUCCACAUGGAAGAGCUGGACUGCUGCCUAUGAUGUACAGCCAGCCCAGGCAUCAAUAUUCCUACUCACCAGGAUCUAGGUCUCCAACACAUAACUGGGAUGACCAGUAGGCAACACCACUGCCACCACCACCGCCCGCAAGUAUUCCGCACGGAAGAGGUGGACCGCAGCCUAUCAUGUACAAUGAGCCCAGGGAUCAAUACUCACCAGAACCUAGGUCUCCAACACAUAGCUGGGAUGACAGCUUCAGUACAUUCUCUCAAGAGACCUGGUACAGAGACACAUCGAUAAUCCCCUCCUAAAAGGCAGAUCCCAACCCUGCGCAUACUUAGGCCUAUGUUCUGUUUUAGAGUUUUAAAAAGGGAAAUGUUUUUGUUUGCAUUAUUUGCACUUCUUUGUUGUUGCAGUUAUAUUUAACUUUUUUUUUUCAUUGUUUUUUUGCUGUAAUUGGAACACUGCGUCUUACUUACCUUGAGUAUAAUGAAAAUACACUAUAGCACCUGGUGAUCUUGCUGCUCCCUUAAUGUAAUGAAACACAGGCCUACAUUUGUGGAGCAUCAUGAUCACCAGUGUGCUGGAGUUUCUUUACACAAAAGUAUACUGUUUUUCUCCAUGCACCUGCUUACACAAUACAACCUUUCCCAAUAACUAAUCUUAGAGUGACAGCUAGUCUUUGCUUAGGCUUUAUUGUGGUCCUGUAGUUGGUCGUCUGCUUGGUGUGGUCUGGGCCAACAACAGACAGAAGAGUCUCCAUCUCUUCUGCACUCAUCCGGAAGUAUCGGUGAUGUUGGGCAGGGUCCAAGAGCAGCUCCUGGACAAGGUGGUAGUAUUGCCCAUGCUCCCUUCUCAGAACAUUUAUGGGAUGCACCCAUAACAUCCUCCUUCCCUGUCUGCGCCUCAAUAAUACAAGGGCGACCACCUUCUGUUUUAGCAGGUGGUGUCUGUUAAUCCAUGCUGUUUAGAAAAGCAUACAAAGUAUUGUUUAUUUUUUUUACUUCUUUGGGUGAGUAUAAUAUUAGUUUAUAUCUCAUACCAGAGUUGUUUGGUUUUAAGGUCAAAGAGACUGGCUAAUUAUAGUACUCAGCCUGUCAUCAUGUAUACUAUAGGCAUAUGGGAG